CCGGAACCUGAGGAUACUCUGGCUGCCGGCAGGGCGACGGUGCUGGCUCGGGAUUAUGGUUGAAGAGUUGGAAUGACAAUAAAUCGGGAUGAACCAGAGUGAUACAGGAAAAACUUCGAAUAAGCCCACAUGUUCUUUAAGAAAAGAAGCAGUGGUGUCCUGGGUCCAAAAGUGAGGAAAUACCAGACAUGCCAAAAGGAGACUCAUCUUGAAUGGACCAUGAAUACAACUUUAAUAUGGACCCUUCUGUUUCAAUGGAAUAUAUAACUUCUUUUAAUUACCUUUUCCUCCCACAAUUCCUAUUACAUGACUGCCAAUCUAAAAAUUAUGGGAAAUGCUUUUGUGGUUUUAUUAAGAUUAAUGGACCCUUUACCCCCCUUUAUGAGGCUUUCAACUGGUACUUUAAUUCUAAGGGAAUAUACCCACCAGUUCUGGGAUGUCUGCCCUAGGAGAUUAACUAGUGGUUGACUUCUUACUAUACAUAUUCCAUUAGUUUAUAAUUGGCCAGAUUAUUUCACAUUAUUUUCUAACACUUGAAAGCAAAAGGGGAAAGAAAAAUCCCCAGAAAGCACCAAAUUGCUAUUUCUAAGUGUCCAAGUGCAAUUUUAAAUCAUAGUUGAGUUUGAUCAAUUUAUUGCAACCCUGAAUCUCAAGUUGACUUUAAACUUGCCUUUUCAUCAAGUUAACCACAACACAGAAUCAGGAAAGAAGUAGGCAUUUGCUGUUAUAUCCCUUCUUAUUGAUACAAAAUGCUACUCAAUUUCGUAACUCCCUAGUGCACUCUUAGCAGUC